CUCCCUGGUGCCGGAGGCGGCGGGCGGCGCCGGCAUCGCCGCGCGGGGCCGACGCCAGAUCCUGCUGACCUGGGCGC
rnacentral:tRNA from 1 species